rnacentral:rRNA from 1 species
GUGGGGAAUAUUGGACAAUGGGGGGAACCCUGAUCCAGCCAUGCCGCGUGUGUGAAGAAGGCCUUUUGGUUGUAAAGCACUUUAAGUUGGGAGGAAGGGCAGUAAGUUAAUACCUUGCUGUUUUGACGUUACCGACAGAAUAAGCACCGGCUAACUUCGUGCCAGCAGCCGCGGUAAUACGAAGGGUGCAAGCGUUAAUCGGAAUUACUGGGCGUAAAGCGCGCGUAGGUGGUUUUGUAAGUUGGAGGUGAAAUCCCCGGGCUCAACCUGGGAACUGCCUCCAAAACUGCAUGACUAGAGUACGGUAGAGGGUAGUGGAAUUUCCUGUGUAGCGGUGAAAUGCGUAGAUAUAGGAAGGAACACCAGUGGCGAAGGCGACUACCUGGACUGAUACUGACACUGAGGUGCGAAAGCGUGGGGAGCAAACAGGAUUAGAAACCCGGGUAGUCC